AAGCCAGCCAAGUGAAAUGCAUUUUGGUGGGGAUUCCUGGGGCAUCCUUCCCGCCCUUCCCGCCCACACUGUGAUCAUUGUAAUGCUGAUGUUCGCAGCCUGUGGACCCUGAUUGUGUGGAAAGCCGGCGUAAAAAAAUAUUUUAAAUGGAUAACACAAAAUAAACAUGAGAUGAGAUGACAGUAAGAUUAUACGCCCUUAGGAAUCAGGGCUAGAUGGUUGCUUUGAGAGAAGGGCUAUGGAAAAAACCCCCAGCAUUCGGAGAUUAAUGAUAACCAUGACAAUGUACACAGCGAUUCUAGCAGAGGGCUUCAUGAAUUGCCACAAAACCUUCAGUGGGAUGCCAUGAUUUCUCCUAAGCAGAUGAGGGUCUGGAGAAUAUUGCUGCCUGGCAGUGGUCAAAUGUUGUACCUUGAUCGCUGGGGAACUGUUAUAUUCUCCGAAGCAAGGGGCAACUUUCAGAAAAUGGCGGGUGGCGUGACCCCAAUAAAUGAGGAACAAACAUGAAUGUGUUGUAUGAUGAAUGCAUAGUGUUCACCACCUGCAUCCAGUUUUGGACAAAGGGGACUUGGCCACAGUGUUACAUACUCUGGUAACCUCCCAAUUGGACUACUGUAAUGCACUCUACGUGGAGAGAUUCUUGAAGAUGUCCUAGAAGCUGGAGCAGGUGCAGCAUGCUGCAGCUAGGCUGCUUGCUGGUACAUCUGGCUGGAUGCACGUCACACUGGUCCUCAAAGAAGUACACUGACUCCCAGUUUGCUUCAGGGCCAAAUCCAAGGUGUUGGCAUUAAGAAGAAGAAGCGUUUGGAUUUAUACCCCAACUUUCUCUCCUGUAAGGAGAUGCAAGGUAGCUUGCAAGCUCCUUUCCCUUCCUCUCCCCA